GACGUAGGGCGCGAGCGUUGUCCGGAAUUAUUGGGCGUAAAGAGCUCGUAGGCGGUUUGUCGCGUCUGCCGUGAAAGUCCGGGGCUCAACUCCGGAUCUGCGGUGGGUACGGGCAGACUAGAGUGAUGUAGGGGAGACUGGAAUUCCUGGUGUAGCGGUGAAAUGCGCAGAUAUCAGGAGGAACACCGGUGGCGAAGGCGGUUCUCUGGGCCUUACCUGACGCUGAGGAGCGAAAGCGUGGGGAGCAAACAGG
rnacentral:rRNA from 1 species